rnacentral:lncRNA from 1 species
GGACCUGCGGCGGAGCCGAGACGACCGCGCAGAUAGGCACGCACCCGGCAGCGCGGCCCCGCGCCCACGGGACGAGGAGGAGGAGGGAGGCAGAAGGUCCCCUUGCAGCCUCCCUCACUCUCUCCCUCCCUCCAAGGUCAAAACAUGGCUGUCCAAAGAAUGGGAUGCUUGCCAAAACAUCAAUCUGUGCUGAGUGCCAUACUCAUUAUCCUUCCAGUGGUGGAUUACAACUCGGGUCUCCUCAGGAGGUGACUGAUGUGGAACAAACUGUACGACUGUCUUUGCUGUUUGGAUACGUGUGUAAGUUAACGGGCUACUGGGAGAAGAUGAAGAGGCUUUUGCAGAAAAAUGAGGAUAUCAUGGGAAGUGCUGCUGCUAACCAUUUGGAUUAUAUUGCUGUCUGACACAGAAGUUCUGCAGAUUACGUAAGGAACUCUCCAGAUCUUUUUUGUUAUGUGAUUGCUGAAGCAUUUUCCUGGCACAGCAGUAAUGAUUGAUGAACACACUUCAGACUAGGAGCCACAGAGCAGUGAGGAUUUAUGCAUCUGGAAUAGAACUAUGAAUGGGAUUGCAGGAUUUACAUGGAGGACUCUGAAAUCCCUCACUUCCUGCUCCAGGAAGGGGGCCUGCUUUGUGACCUGGGGUACAAUCUAUGUCUGCUACUGAAGCUAUCUUGACUGGCAUGAGAAAUGUAGUAUCUUUACAUCACUACAUGAUGCAGAUGGAUCACUCUUUGCCAGCUGCCAAAUCAAAUAUUGCUGUACAGUCUCUACCUUCAGCAACAUCCUCAGUGUUCUGGUGGUGGGUCCCUUGAAAGGAUGGGGCAGAACAGACUUCAUGCCACCCCUGUACUUCAAGCUCUCUGCUCUGCAUGAAGCUGCACUGUUCAGAAGAAGCAAGAUUCUUUCCUCACAGCUACGGCACUGCGACACAGCCUGCUUUUUCGCAUUUACCUGGGUGGCUGCUGCUGGUUCUGCUGCUGCUGCUGCAGCCUCGCUGCCUGCGCUUCACCCCAGCUUGGCUGAUGCGAGCCUCCCUCGUCUGCACAUUGCUAAGGAAGAGAAGCGAUGGAGCCGCAAUUUUUUUGUUGGUUCUGGAAGCAAAGGGUUGUGAUGUGGGGUUGUUUGGGGGUUUUCUUUUUUUUUUUUUUUUUUGGUGGGGAGAGAAAGGAGGGAUGUUAAUCUAGGGUGGAGUGGGUAAAAGCUUAAAGAAAUAUGAUGAAAAGUAAUCCAGUGCUCAACAAGGGCAUCAGCAGCAAGAAUCCAGCCUCUGCUGCUCCAGAGGAUUAAGAUGGGGAAAGCCACAGAACUGCAGUCGAGUUGCACCUCAGCGUUGUUCUGGAGAUGGAUAAACAAGGUAUUGGUCGUAUCUGCCUGCUAAGGCAAAGCCACGGGAGGAAGAGCGAGCGAGAGAGUGCGUGCAAAUGCAGUGGAAGAAGGAACGCUGCGUGCUGUUUGUCUGAUUCUGUGCAUUCUCAGUGUGGAGAGGAUGGUGUGAUUAAGAAAACAAUGUAUGGAUAGAGGCACUAUGAAUUGUAGCUCGAACACUCCUGAUGCUGUCAGGGAGGGAACUGAUGAGCUAGGUGGCUGCAGCAGUAUCCCCAGGGAAAACAGCGGCCAUGCUGUGUAUGUAUGUGCUUAUGUAUGUGUGUGUGCUUAUGCGUGUGGGAGCAUGUACAGACAUGAAAGAAAGACAUUUCUGACCAAUUUACAGAGGAAGCUUGUCACUUUGAUGGUCAGCCUUGAUUGCAGCUUGUAUUUUCAGCUCUAGCUCUACACCCAAUUUCUGAGUGAGGCAGCACUUUGCGAAUGCAGAUGUAGGCAGGAUUCUUCUAAGAAAUAUGAAAGCAGAUCCUUUCUGUUUAACACCUUGGAGCACUGAAUUUUCUGCACUGUGUUGAGAGAAGCUAAGGGGGAGGGGAUCAUUUUCUCCAUCUUACAAUCUUUAUGAACACAGCUAUAUUCAGUACGGCAAAAAAAUUCUAUGUUCUAAAUAGAAAUGUGAUCAAUCUAAUCAAAAUAAAUGCAUCCCAGAUGACUUCUAGACCAGCUGGCUACCACAGUCAUCAGAUGGCUAAAUGCUCAACUGAGCAUUUAUAGUCAGGAUUAUAUUUCUUUUUUCUUUCUUUCUUUCUUUUUUUUUUUUUUUUUUUAGAAUUUUAAAAUCAGCCUCUAAUUAAAAAAUGAUUAUUCCUCUAUUAAAAGAGACAGCAGCUAGCAGCAGAUUUUUCUGAAAUGUACCUGUUUGGUUUUGUUUUUGUUUUUUGUCAUUGUCAUCUGAUUGGCUUGGGCUCUUUUUGUUUAUCUGUUUGGUUUAUAUUUCUGCGCAUGCAUUGAGGAGUCCAUGCUUUUAGAACAGGGAGACUUGUCACAGUGCUUGGCAUACUGAGUUCAGCUGGCAGCUCAGGUUGCCCAUAGCUGAACAAUGCAAAAAUAGGGAAAACAAGUACUGCAGUCAGCUAGUGGGGUUUGGCAUGGCUUUUAGCAGCUGCCUACUGAGAAAGAGGUUUCUUUUUUCUAUUCUUUUUUUUUUUCCCUUUUAUACAAAUCCGUAGACCAUAAUGUCAUCCUAAAAUGCGUACGGGGGGAUUUCCCAAUAGUCAUGGUGGGCUACCCUGCAAGAUGCCUGUCUGGCCCUUCCACUGUUUGUUACCCUGUCUACAAAGGCUGCCCUGUGUGUUGGAUUAUAUUUAGCCAGCUGCUGGGUAACAUUCUUGUGCUGGGGGCAGAGGAGUCUUAUUACUCCCAUACUGUAGUUUUGUGUUUUCUUAAAGAAAAAUAACCUUGGCAAUACAGCAGGCUCUGAAAAGAAGUGUAUACCACUCCUGCACCUUUCUGAAACUGCUGUGCUUCUAACUCAGGCUGUUUUAAAGCAAGCGAGCAGGAGGAAGAGUGGCUCUUAGCUCAUAGCUUCAAAGCUGCAAAAUGUCAGCAGCUUGUAAUUAGGAACCCGUGGUUACGUCAGGGACUGUAUCUCUCCAAGAAUAGCUGUGUGAUGUGUGCCACAAAGCAAAGGAAGGCAGUCAUAACCUGGUUCUCGAGCCUGCUUUGAACAACAGAGCGAAAUGGAUUAAUGAAUCAGCUGCAUUCGUAAAUCAGAGCUGGAUGGCUUACACGUAUGAGACUGGCUGCACUCUGCAAAAGUGAAGACUGAAUUAUCGGUUUGUCAGAGGGCACACGUUCACCGAGUGGAAGUGUGAAUCCUUCGGAAGAAAUGCAGACAAGCCAUCUGUCCUAGGAAAUGUCAUUCCCGUCUCCAUCUUGCACAGGCAGCUGCGUGCCACGAGGCAUGGGAGGGAGCGACUGGCCAGCCGCACCAAGGUGUUUAAAAGCACGCAUAAAAUUAAACACAAAGAGCCAGCACACCAAAACUCGGCUCUGGCGUUGCAGAUUUGAUGCUGAAAUACCACCCCAGUGCAGACCUACUGCGCUCAGGUGUGGUUUCUAUUAAGGCUUCUCUGGUUAAGGGAUGGUGCAAAAAAAGCCUUAGCGCAACAUCUUGCAGCCAAACGUGGUCCUGGGGGUGUACUGGGAAUGCUGCGGCGCUGGGCUGCCUACUCCACAGGGACCUGCCUGGAGCUUUCUGAUCCCUGCUGUUGUUUUUCGGUCUGGGCUGGCUGCUCCACAGCACUUAAGCGGUGAGAUUGCAGGGGUGCUUACCCUGCUCUGACCGGCCUUUCCCCGUGCUGUGGCUGGAGAUGUUUACACGGCUUUUAUCGACAGCCCUUCACCAGUCAGUGUGCAUUGCUGCCUGUUUUUGGCAGCCUGGCGUGGUUCCUUGCUCGCAGCACAAGUCAGCUGCAGUUCUGCUCUUUGUGCUGCUCUUUAAUUUACCAGGAUAGGUAGAUUGUAUUAUGCAAACAGUGGUUGUGGGUUCUGUUUUUUUUUUUUUUUUUUUUUUUUUUCCCUGACCGUGAACACAAAUUUGUAGGAGGAGAUGACUCUGUAUAUUAAACCAAUAGCUCUUUGAAUUGUGUGUAGUAUAAUUUAAAUAUACUUACUUUAAUUAGUAGGAGCUUACAAAAGCCGGCAUUGUCUGGGGCUGUUUAAUUUACAUCGCGGCCUCUGUCAAUGAGUGCAACCUGCCUGAACAGAAUGGCGUAUUCUGCACAGCCGGCAGGGUGGAAGGCGUUACUUUGUUUGUGUUCCUUCCAACAGCUGGUCAUUAAUGCAGGCCCCAUCUCCAGAGUGAAGUGCCGGUGGACAUGAAUGGCCGCCUGAUUAAUGCUGCCCCUCGAUGGCUCCUUCUUCCAGCAGUGAUGCUCGCAGCAGAAUAAUGCAGCGUGAUUUGAUUGCGCUCUAACAGGGCAGUAUGUCAUUGUGUCACCAAGCAAUUGAGGUUAUUAUGGGGCAGGGCAGACAGACGGGACAGUGGGGUUACUAGACCGUGGCAUUUUUAGAAAUGCAGGCCUGACCUACUUAGAGUUAUUCUUGCUGGCUGGCAGCUGCAUGGUGCAUGGCUUGUCCUGAUAGGCUGAGGCUGUUGCUAGGGGGAAUUAGCAUGAAUUUUUCCACAUACAGACUCAGUGAUUGAAUGAUAAAAGCUGACUGGAAUUAAAGAGAUUCGGUUCAGUAUUAUGCAGAUUUAUCUCCCUUGUUUUUUCCUCUCUCAAAUGCAUAAAAAAGGAGCAGAAGACAGUUUGUUUCCAUUCAUUUUUGACCUAUUUUUUUUCCAGAGGAGGGCAGAAGCACUGUGAAUUUUUGAUCAUUUACUAUUUAAGUCGCUGAAAUGAUAUGACAGUGGGCAUGCAUCUUUAAUGUAUAGGAGAUUCAAAUUCCUUCUCUCAGAAGGGAAUGAAAUGAAUAUAGUUUAUACACUGAUCAGACCAUCGCCUUUAUUUAUUUAUUUAUUUAUUUAUUUAUUUAUUCUCUAUUUGAAACUAUGUCAGAUUCUCUCAUCUGGAAAGGGAAAACGUACACCAGGUUUUAUUGCAUAACUUCACUCUUGGCUAUUUUUAGCUAUCUGCACUUUACAAAAUUAGUCCUGUUUGUGUGGCUGGAUGAAAUGAAUCCCCAGACUGUGCCUCCUGUAUGCAGAUACACGCACCCAGGAUGUGCUGUAGUGUGCCGUGUUCAUCUGAAAAGAUGCGCACACACUGCAGACAUAGCAGCUCUGCCUGUUGGCGGAGAACUGACGACUGGCCUUUAAGCUGAUUGAUUAGAUAACCUCUUGUGCAUUUUGAAGUAUUUUUCCGGCUUCAGUUUGAAGUUUGAUUCUCUUGAUAGCACUUUUUUAUUUAUCUACAUCUGCUUAAAACAGUCAUGUUUUUUCAGAGAAUUCUGUGUUCCCUCUGGAAGCAAGUAAAAACAAUACUCAGUGAAGACUUCUUUGAUGUAAUUAUGGAUAUUUCCUUUGUUAUUAUCACUAAUUAUAAGAUAUCUUCGUCCAAACCACAGUACCCCCUGUGUGAUCCUUUACCAUGCAAAAGGAGUUACAAUUUAGUGCUUAUGAUUUUAAAAGGGUUUUCAUGGCAACACCUCCUGACAUCACACUCAAAGAAUUGUGACUUUCCAGCAUCUGGGAAUGAGGGAGAGGGACUCUGAAGUUUUUGUAUUUGCCAAAUGAGUGUGUGACUCAUUGCUGAAAAUUGUGAGCUCAUUUGAGUUUCAUGUGAAAUACCUGGAUGAAUGAGACACUUCUCAGAGCAGUAUCUGUCAGGAUGGCCAGAAUUACCCCUGGAGUUUCCUGGCCUCCUGCCUCAGCUCAUGAAGUUUCUCUGGAGGGUUUGAAGGUGAAUCAGUUAAACAUGGAGACAUACAUCUGAGUGCAUUUUGUAGUCUAGGCAAAAGCAUUUGAUUUGUACAGAUUUGAAUUUUCUGUGUCUCUUUUCCUGUUGGUCAUUUACUACUGAAGCACAUAGCUCUUCCCUGUCUCUUUCUUCCUGACAGCUUUGUGGAUUGACAGACUUGUGGAGGCAUGAAAGUGAAGAGAGGCUUUAUUGGAAACCCAGAGGUUUCUCCUUCUGGCUGUGUUCUCACCAUCUGUCCAGAUGUAACUCCAGCAAGUGUAACUGUGAUGCAGGUCCCACUUCCCACAGCAGGAACCACUCCUCCCAGUAUUCUCUUGAUCAAAGCCCUAUUUCUUGAUCUGCUUUCUUGUGGGAUGCUGUCAGUGGCUUUGGCUUUGCACCUGGGCUACCAUUUUCACUUUGGCAUGUCUUCCAAACCUCCUUGAUGCUGUGUUUUCUGCUGUUUCCCCUCAUGCUCCCACUUGCAUUCCAUGUGAUAAACCUGUUUUAGUGAUGAGAGAGAAGGAUCAGGUCGCGGAGAGGUUUACUUUUGGGAGGGUAGGCAAUGGCCAGGCUUUGUUUGGAAUUGUCUUUUAAAGUUCUCACCCUCAUUGAAUGUAGCCAGUCAUAGUUUCACCCAGUUGACUUGCAACAUCAGCUAACUUGGACAUCAGCAAAUCAAAACUACCGUACCAUAUUACAUUAAUUUCAGUGGAAACAUAUUUUUUAGAAAAAUCAUAAUCAUGGAAUCAUAGAAUCACUCAGGUUGAGAAAGACCUUAAAGAUCAUCGAGUCCAACCAUGACCUAACCAUACUACCCUAACAACCCUCUGCUAAAUCAUGUCCCUGAGAACCACAUCCAAACGAUUUUUAAACACAUCCAGGAAUGGUGACUCAACCACCUCCCUGGGGAGCCUAUUCCAGUGCUUAACAACCCUUUCAGUAAAGUUUUUCCUGAUAUCCAACCUAAACUUACCCUGGUGCAACUUAAGGCCAUUUCCCCUCUUCCUGUCACCUGUCACCAGUGAGAAGAGACCAACCCCGCUCUCUCUGUAGGCACCUUUCAGAUAUUGGAAGAGAGGUCUCCCCCCAGCCUUUUUUUCCCCAGACUAAACAGCCCCAGUUCCUUCAGUCUCUCCUCACAGGGCAUAUUCUCCAAGCCCUUCACAAGCCUUGUUGUCCUUCUUUGGACCUGCUCCAGCACCUCCAUGUCCUUUCUGUACUGAGUUGUAAUGAGUUGAGUAUCAUCUUAUUUUGGCAUAUUCAUGCUAAGAGCGAGCCCAGAGGAAGGCAAGAAACAAUAUUAAGCAUAUAGUCUAUGGAAAAGAAUUAUAUCCCUGAUAUUUGUUUGGGAUUUCAGUACAGUGAACGUUUAUAACAGACAUCAAGUCAGUCAGUUUUAACAAACUGUCAAGUGACAUAUUAAAUAUGAAAAAUGCAGUGCACCAGAAAUUGUACUCAACAUUAGGUUACUAUUCUGCAAGUCACUUUAAAGGAAAUUACCUCAAAUAAAUUAAUGUGUGAAUUGUCUGAUCAUAAUGCCUGGGAUAAUUAUAAGUAGCAGAAAUGUGGAGUUAAUGAAACAGAAACAAAAUCUAGCUCUUUCUAUGUAUGUGUUUAUAAAGCAUAAGAAUCAGGGCACCAGAAGAGUUUGAAAUAUAUGUCUGUUGAAAAUACAGUCAGUUGUGUACAUUCCUUCAAAAAGCAUGUUAAGAAUUUUCUGAUUGUCUCCUCUGAGGUUUCUACUGUUGUAACAACUCACACCUCCCACCCAGAAGUUGCUUACCUACAAAAGAUUGUGUUGUAUUGUUCAGCAUUUUUGUACCAUGACCUCUCCUGUGAGCUGUGAAAGAUCUAUUGUGCUGUGUUUCAUUCUCUAGGGUGGCUAAGCGAGUGCUGAUUUACAAGUAGCAUAUGCAGACAAUUUUUUCUUCCAAUCAAGGAUCCAAAAUCCUACCACUAUUUGAGUUGGCUGUGGUGGUCAGUGUAUUCCUCACCCAGGAGUCUUGGCUGGUUGUGCACUUUGUGCAUUUUGUGAUGUCAUUCAGCUUUCUGGUUUUCUGAAAAGGAGCAGAGGAUGCAGGAUAUAGAAUGGCACAUCUAGAUUCCCAUGAAGGGAUAAUGGCAGCAAGGAGUGAGCUCACUUCCAGACUUUACCUCCUGCCAGGACCUUUAAGAUCAGUUUUUUUCUGCAGCAAAUUUGUUUUGGUUCCAAUUUCAAACCCAAAGUAGGAGGAAGUGUAUUAUAUUUCUUAAAAAGUGGCAGUUGACGCAUUCCUUCUACUGCAGUACAGGAGGGAAUACAAAUGUUUUACAAAUUAAAAUAAUCCUUACAGUAUUUUUUUUCCUGUGAUCCACUAAGAUGGAAACUAAUUCUGUAACAUUACCUUCAGCCAGGAGCAGCAUUACUGUGGCUCCCACAUUCAUAUUUUUCCUGCAUGUGUGCGCCUAUAUACUCGGAAAUACUGUACACACAUUGUGUGUAUAGUAUAUAUACAAAAGACACAGUAUAUAUAUACUAUACAUAGUAUAGUAUAUAUAUAAAAGACACAGACAAUUUACACAAGUGCAGUAUUGGAGCAUACAUUAUAAUGUGUAAUCACAGUUACCUCAGAUUAAUACCAGAACUGUGCUUCCAAGUGUUCAGUGCUGGCUUGUUUAUGGUGAAAGCAUCUUGACAUACAAUUCGUACCAUUUCAACACAGAGCAUAACCAUCACAUUAAUCCUGUCAUCCCAUUCACCACCACCACCGACAAAUGAUGCUGUGUAAUAGAAAGAUACCAAAAAGGGGACAUUAUGGUUAAAAUUACUGUAUAAUUAGAUAGGUGGAUUUCAUAACCACUUUUCAUUUUUUGUAGUCACAAGUGAUGUAAAAUGAAAUGUUUGAUAGCUGUUUAAGACAGAGAGACAAUUUUUUUCUUAUUGUUAAUUCUUCCCUACUGCUCUUAGGUCACACCUGUUUCAAAAGUGAGUCCAGACUUAAAUCUUGACAGAGAUCAUGACCUUACUUCAACCAAUGGCUGUUUUAUCCUGGCACUCAGUGGGACCAGGUAUCAGGUCUACGUAUUUUCAGCUGAACAUGUCUUUGUCUCUCUUCUCACUCCAGAGUGUAGUAUUUCUAUUUCUGAGUUUUCAUUCCUCUUUUCCUCUGAACAUUCUUUGAAUGCUUGAAUCUUUAAGCAAUAAAUUUGCCCUUGAGUAUUAGAAAAUAUGAGGAAGUAACGCUUUCCUACUGAGUAGAUAAGGUUGAGUUGGGGUUAGUCUCCAUAACUUUGUGUUUUCAUAUACUUCUGUUUUCAUCAUAAAAUAUCUUUUGUUUUGAUAAAAUGAAACAGCAAGUGAAACAAAACAAAACAAACAAAAAAAGAAUGAGUCCAGUCUGUGGAAACUCAGGGAAUAAGGUGGUUAUGUUUUGACCUACAAAGAUAGGGCCCAGAAGUGCAGAGGCAGAAAAAAAGCAGUCUUUAAAAGGAAAUGCUUUCUAGCUCUCUAAUGACUUAUUCUGUUAUCAUCACUGAAGUUAACAAUGGAUUCCUUCCUUUAAAAACAAAAAAAAAACAAAAAAAAAACAAAAAAAAAAUCUUUGAUGUUACGUAAAUAAAAUGCUCACAUCCACAUCCAACAAAAAUAUUAAUUUGGAGGUAGGUAUGCCACAGUUGUGUCUAGAGUUUGCUGUGUUUUUGUUGUAAGCCUGACAGACACAGUAAUUAGGCCUUUCCGAGGUAAAAAAUGUUUGGAUACCUCUAAGUUGAAAGCAUUUGAAAAAAUGGCAGCCAGUAGAUGACUGUUGGUAAUAGAUUUUUUUCCUAUGUUAUGCUACUUGGAGAACCCAGGCUGAACAUAGGAGGAGACACUGUGCUGCAAACUUGGUUUGGUGAUGGUUGAAACACGGCUGAUGAAUCUUUGGGUAAAUCUCCUGUUCAUGAACUCUAAUAAUGGCAAUAUAUUAUGGAUCUCACUUACAGUUCCUGCAUGCAAGUGCAAGAAUACAUACACACCAUCUUAGCUGAACUGAAUUGUUAGUGAAGCCAUCUCCAGCGGUGCUAUUCUUUUCUUAUUACUCUUUUGAAACUCAAACCUGCAGUUGUUUAUAACUCACUGAUGAGACUACAAGUUCAUUGUCUCUCCCAAGACUGGUAAGGUUGUAUCCCUUUCCCUCUAGCUUUGGCUUAACUCCACUCAUGUAAACUUUAUGUACCCAUCCUUUUUGUGUGGGAGCAGAAAUUUUGGUGCAUAUCAAUGCCUUAUUUGCUCCGCUAUAGUCACGUGUUUGCAGCAAGUAUUUUCUGUAAACAGACAGUGAAUAGCGCACUUGUCUUGCAGUUGGUCUUGUCUUGGAUUUCUUGGCAUUACACUCACUAUUCCUAAUAUUUUUGUGGUAUUGGAGAGACACUUGUAAAUAUCAAAUAAAUAAGUAGCCUCCCAUGGUGUCUCUUUUUGUAGUGUCAGUUUGUAUUUAGUAUGUUAGCUGAAUAUGAGAACAAAAUGGAAGAUACGAAUACUAAGCACUGCCUUCCAAAAUACUUUCCCCUGUUUUAUGAGAGUAAUCUCAUUUAUUUUAGAAGAAACAAGUAAAUGGCAUACCAAGGGGCCCAAUCAGGCAAGUGAUAUUUGAUUUCACAAAGCAGAUUCUCAUGUUAUGACGCAUUUGCAAGGAGCAGGAUGGAAUAAUAAUGCUGUGCAGAACAACUUGCUUGUGUGCUUUCAAAUAGAGUAGAUCAUCUGAAAGCCACGGGACCAAGCAAAAGCUGAGACUGGUGGACUGGUUGGAGAGCUGUGCAAACCAGGGCAUGACACCUGUUUGUCCAGUUCUCCAAAGGGAUUUUCCAAAGUUUCAAGUGUUGCCAGCAGUUGGUUGCCUUCUUUGCUCAAUCAUUAUUUACAAUGUUUUCAGUUUGAUGGUGUUUGUAAGGAGAGGUAAUAUCCUUUAUUCAAACCACCUCUCUCCCUUGGCUUUUUGAUAGCCUUAGGCAGUCCUGGCUCCCUCAUGUUCUAUAAUUCUCUGAUAUUGUUGUUGACUCUAAUGGUGGUUAAGAGCAUGCAAAAUAGUCAGAAGCCCAACAGGAUUUUGAAUCGAUAGUGUUCCAUAGUUUAAGAUUUCUAUAUGGAUCAAACAUUUCUAAUACAUAGAAAGCUAGAGGAAAUCUCAGGCAGUGAAUUUCUGGCUGUACUCCUGUGUUGCUUAAUGAUGGAUACCAAUAAAUUCAGUUAUACUCUAGGCUUGUUGCAAUUGUUGGCUUGCAACACUGCCAAUCACACUGGGAGGAGACAAAACAGAAAAAACAGUGUUUUCUCAGGCAGAAAAAUCACUUUACUGAGUACGGUGUGGUGUUUUGUUUCACCCUUAAAGAGUCAGCUCAAAGAUCCCCUGUAUGUUUAUGAUGCAUACUAGUGUUCACUGGUAUUUAUUUUAAUACCUUGUAUUACCAAAACUUCUUUUGUGCCUUGAACUUCAUGCUGUAGGCUGAAAAGUGGACUUAUGCAGCCAGAACACUGAACACAAGCCUCCUGAAAAGUGUUUGUAUUUUAAGAUGGUACUCCUGCACACUUUGACGUACUAGCAGAUCUGAUAAGCUUUGGGAGAAAAUAGCAUAGUAUGGUGCUAUUACAUGAGGAACUGGUAUUCUAUUGAAGAGAAGUCAUUCCAUAAUGUGAUUUUUUAGAAACUAUUUUUCUGGCUGUGUUUGCUUAGAUGAAUGAAACAAACUUCAGUGAAACAAACUGAGCAUAGUCAUAAAUGCAAAUUCAGUAAUAAAUGUCCGUGUGGAACACAGACUUCCCACAAAAGCAUUUUAUUGUUUAAUUCACAGGGUGAAAGGAUACAUUUGUUUUCAAAUAUAGCUGUUAGUUGUAAAAGCUAUGGUUUGGGACAUAGAAGUUGUUCUUUUGGUGAAAAGUGUGUAAAAUCUUUCAUGCACAUUCAUUGUGUUUUAAGCCCCAAGGUCAGAAUUCAGAACCUGGCAAUUCCGAUAAGAAUGAGAAACUGAUGAUAGAAAUGAAAUGUAUUUUGGGGGCAGUUUUGCAGCCAUGUGCUUUAUUUUACAGAGCAAGUAUGCAAUUUUGCUUCAACAAACACAGGCAAAAGUCAUCAGAGCUUUUCUUUCUUCUCCCUUCCCCUCCCUUUUCUUUCCCCUUUUCUCUUUUUUUCCUUUCUUUCUUCUUUUUCCAGAAAUACCCAAAAUGGUUAUACUUGCAAGUAGCAUUCAAAAAAAGCUUCAUCCUCCCAGUGUCAAUGCACAACAUUCCUCUUUGCUCUUACACCCCCUUUACUUGCAUUUUCCUAGAUUAUCGUUCUCUAUUGGUCUACAAUCACAAACAGCAGUAACAGCAACAAACAACAAAAAACAACAAAGAAACAACAAAACACCCUCUGUUCAUCCGUUAGAUUCAGUUCUACACAGUCCCCAACAACUUGGACUGUCACUCCUUUUGCGUGCUAAUGUUUUAAACACCUGGUCGCCCUAGUUUUUGAGCCAUAAAGACUAAAUGCAUGUGCCGGCUUCCAUGAAGCCUGUGAUGGUUUCUUGAUUCUGGAUGAUACCCACACCUUCCUUAUACCUGUUAGAGUUUGCGUCAUAUCCAUGCACACACAUACCCAUUUUUUAGAAACGAUAGAGAGGCUUUUUGUCACUCCUUAAUCCUUUGUCAAAGGGUAGAAAAUGCAGUGUUUUUCUGUGUGAGCUGGGUGGACAUCAGAGACUCUUCUCUUUCUUUGGGUCCCACAGCCCUGCUUUGAAAUAUUUUUAAAGAGAUGAAUAGGGUGUAGUUGUAGCUUUAAAACGAUGAACUUUGCACAUCACUGCAAUAAAUGGUUCUCCUUUUUAUUCUGGGGUCCAAGUUGAGAUAAUACACAGAAGUAAAGAAAAAAAUCUGGAUGUCUUCUAAUUUAUUGUCUCCUGACUUUUUUUCCUCCCUUUAAUUUAUUUUUGGAGUCUGGGAAGAAAAGCAUGCCAGAAAGGCCCAGUGUAUUGAUGUGUGAAAUUGAAGUAGUUGAUGAUUCUUAUGAUCCAGACACCAUGCCCUUUGACGGGGUUAACAUAAAAAGAAACAUACUGGAAAACACACACUUAAAUAUGAAAAAUUCCUUAAAUUCAGGGUGUGUUCAUGCAAAGUGAAAUUUUUACAGUGUGGAAAGCAUUAAACCUGAUCCAGAAAAAACGUUAGGUGCCCUAGCCAUUGAGAUGUGAAUCUCUUUAAUCCACGCAAGCAUUAGAAAAAUCUGAAACAUGUGAAAGUUCAAAAGCUGCAAAGCCAUUACAUGACUCCUUAUUCAUUUCUCAAAUAUUGUGACUUUCUAUUGAACUGUGAAAAGGCUUCUUCUUGUAUUUUUUUCCCGUUUCAUGAGCAAUAUAUCAGUCACUCACAAAUGCGUUAUUCCGCAUUGUGAAGCUGAAAGUGAGUUUCAUUUGGUUGUGUCUACUUGGGUAUAAAUCUUUGAUUUAUUUCUGAGCAUUUAUGUAGCAUUUCAGAAGUUGGUCACUUGCACCUUUUCAGCAUUUGCUGUUGGAGAAGGGGAAAAGGCAAGUAUUAGUGGAAUGUCAAUGUUGUUUUUCUUAAGAUCUCUUAGACUUUUUUUUUUUUUUUUUUUUUAGUCUGUUUGCUCGAAUGCAGUACUUACGGAGAUAGAGUUGCUGAGAGGUAAGCUAGAGAUUGCUGUUACAGUGCAGUGUCUGAAAAAUGGCUCUUUAUAUAGGGCAACAACCUUAACGGAGAGCAGAAGGUUUCACACUGGUUUGUCACCUGAAAAUGGGACUUAUUUUUAUCAGUGAAACUCCUGUGAGAAGAUCAUGCAGUGCCAGAGAGCCAUUGGAGCUGUUGCUUUUUUUUAAAUGAUAGCAACUGCAGAAUCUGAUGGAGACUUCCUGAGUCCCUACCGUCCUCUUCUCCCCCCCCCCCCCAAAAAAAAAAAAGUCUUAAAAAGACAGAGAAGCCUGUUAUCUAUAUGAAAAUAGCUGUCAACCUGAAUUUCACUAACUUGCCAGAAGAUGUAUCAAACAGUGAAGAUAGUCAGCUAAUUUCUGGGUCUCCUGAGAAGACCACACUCUCAAGUGAUGGACUUCAUUUAGAGUUUGUAAUCUAAGGAAAAUAUAUGACUCAAACCUCUGCCAAGGCCCAAAGAGCUUAAAUGUAAAUAUGAGAUAAGGACUAGCUGUAGUCAUGCCAAGGAAUUGCAGCAAAACAAAGGCUUAUUGAUCAAAAAGGUCAUGGAAAAGAGGACAAGGCUUAAAGAAACUAGAUUUAUUUUUAUUUUUAUUUUUUUGAGUUGAAUGCAAAAAUAGUAACCCAAAGAUGGAGUUCUGUAUGGCAGGCAUCUGUCAAAUGCAUUCUUUUAUUUGUCUGCACAAAUAAAGUGAAUAUCUAUAAUUCUCUUGUUUCAUAGAAUGACUUCCAACCAUAGUCUCCAGAGUCUUGAAAUAGCAAAUAUGUCCCUCUGAUUAAAAUGGAGAAUGUGACAACAGAAAAUGCAGUACUGUGCCUGGGUCUUCCACUUGAUGCUGUUGGGCUUCUCAUGUCUUGUAGGGAUAUGUGUAAGGCUGCUCACAUAUUAUGGUAGGCAGUGGCUACUGAUCUAUUACUGUGGUACGUAAACCUUCUCAAGGGUUUGAAAUAAAUACCUGCUGUUGACUUCAUUUCCUUGGUGAAGAAGGCUUUUUUUUCUUAUAUGUCUGGUGAAGGUUGUAUAGGAAAUGGUGCAAUACUUGCUAUCUAGGAUCCACAAGUUGUCAACCUUUCGUAUCAUGAAAAACAGAAAUAAAGGACAAAUUUCUAUUGCGAGACUGCUGGAAAAAGAUUGUAAAUCACAGAGAUCCUAGUGUCAUCGACUGACAACAAUCUGCUAAGUGAUGUUUGUGUUUUAGGGGCAAGCGGAAAAAGAACAUUCCCUGCGAAUGACAACUGCCCAUCUCAUAAUGUCAUAUUGCCAUUAUCUAUGAAUAAAGAAAAAGGCCCAUUAUGUUAUGUCUAACUAGAAAGAAACUUAACAAAGAAACACACUGUGUUGUUAAGGAGAGGAAGGAGAGCCUUGUGGUUAGGGCACAGGAGAUGUUGAUUCAAAUUUCUGGCUCUGCAAGAGCCUUCCUCUGUGACCUUGAGUGACUGGUGUACUGCUUCACUCUAAAUGGCAACAGUACCCAAGCAGGAGAGAGAUGGGUGCUGAGAUGGGAAAAAGACCUCUUGAAAAACUGGCAUAAAAAUAGGAGCUACAUAGUUUGGAGUCUUCUUAUUUC